rnacentral:rRNA from 1 species
UACGUAGGUGGCAAGCGUUGUCCGGAAUUAUUGGGCGUAAAGCGCGCGCAGGCGGUUAUGUAAGUCUGAUGUUAAAGCCCGGGGCUCAACCCCGGUUCGCAUUGGAAACUGUGUAACUUGAGUGCAGAAGAGGAAAGUGGUAUUCCACGUGUAGCGGUGAAAUGCGUAGAGAUGUGGAGGAACACCAGUGGCGAAGGCGACUUUCUGGUCUGUAACUGACGCUGAGGAGCGAAAGCGUGGGGAGCAAACAGG